rnacentral:rRNA from 1 species
GACGAACGCUGGCUGCGUGCUUAACACAUGCAAGUCGAACGCUGAAGCCGACAGCUUGCUGUUGGUGGAUGAGUGGCGAACGGGUGAGUAACACGUGAGUAACCUGCCCCUGAUUUCGGGAUAAGCCUGGGAAACUGGGUCUAAUACCGGAUACGACCACGGAACGCAUGUUUCGUGGUGGAAAGUUUUUCGAUCGGGGAUGGGCUCGCGGCCUAUCAGCUUGUUGGUGGGGUAAUAGCCUACCAAGGCGACGAGGGGUAGCCGGCCUGAGAGGGCGACCGGCCACACUGGGACUGAGACACGGCACAGGCUCCUACGGGAGGCAGCAGUGGGGAAUAUUGCACAAUGGGGGAAACCCUGAUGCAGCGACGCAGCGUGCGGGAUGACGGCCUUCGGGUUGUAAACCGCUUUCAGCAGGGAAGAAGCGAAAGUGACGGUACCUGCAGAAGAAGUACCGGCUAACUACGUGCCAGCCGCCGCCGUAA